AACGAACGCUGGCGGCAGGCUUAACACAUGCAAGUCGAACGCCCCGCAAGGGGAGUGGCGCACGGGUGAGUAACGCGUGGAUAUCUGCCUUUUGGUUCGGAAUAACCCCGGGAAACUGGGGCUAAUACCGGAUGGUUCCUACGGGAUAAAGAUUUAUCGCCAAAAGAUGAGUCCGCGUACGAUUAGCUAGUUGGUGAGGUAAUGGCUCACCAAGGCGACGAUCGUUAGCUGGUCUGAGAGGACGAUCAGCCACACUGUGACUGAGACACGGCCCAGACUCCUACGGGAGGGAGCAGUGGGGGAUAGUGGACAAUGGGGGCAGCCCUGAUCCUGCCAUGCCGGGGGAGUGAUGAAGGCCUUGGGGUUGUAAAGCUCUUUUGGCGGGGGCGAUGAUGACGGUACCCGCAGAAUAAGCCCCGGCUAACUUCGUG
rnacentral:rRNA from 1 species